AUGUAAGGUAAUGCCUACAAUGUUAAUUCAUUGGAUCCCAUUAGGACUCUACAGUUAAGCGUGCUUGGGCUAGUACUGGAUUGGUGAACUCCCGAGAAUUCCUAGUGUUUUACAUG
rnacentral:rRNA from 1 species